UUUGCCGGCGAGCGGCGGACGGGUGAGUAAUGUCUGGGAAACUGCCUGAUGGAGGGGGAUAACUACUGGAAACGGUAGCUAAUACCGCAUAACGUCGCAAGACCAAAGAGGGGGACCUUCGGGCCUCUUGCCAUCAGAUGUGCCCAGAUGGGAUUAGCUAGUAGGUGGGGUAACGGCUCACCUAGGCGACGAUCCCUAGCUGGUCUGAGAGGAUGACCAGCCACACUGGAACUGAGACACGGUCCAGACUCCUACGGGAGGCAGCAGUGGGGAAUAUUGCACAAUGGGCGCAAGCCUGAUGCAGCCAUGCCGCGUGUAUGAAGAAGGCCUUCGGGUUGUAAAGUACUUUCAGCGGGGAGGAAGGCGUUGAGGUUAAUAACCUCAGCGAUUGACGUUACCCGCAGAAGAAGCACCGGCUAACUCCGUGCCAGCAGCCGCGGUAAUACGGAGGGUGCAAGCGUUAAUCGGAAUUACUGGGCGUAAAGCGCACGCAGGCGGUCUGUCAAGUCGGAUGUGAAAUCCCCGGGCUCAACCUGGGAACUGCAUUCGA
rnacentral:rRNA from 1 species